AUGGCUGUCGUCAGCUCGUGUUGUGAAAUGUUGGGUUAAGUCCCGCAACGAGCGCAACCCUUAUCCUUGUUUGCCAGCACUUCGGGUGGGAACUCCAGGGAGACUGCCGGUGAUAAACCGGAGGAAGGUGGGGACGACGUCAAGUCAUCAUGGCCCUUACGAGUAGGGCUACACACGUGCUACAAUGGCGCAUACAGAGGGCGGCCAACUUGCGAGAGUGAGCGAAUCCCAAAAAGUGCGUCGUAGUCCGGAUCGGAGUCUGCAACUCGACUCCGUGAAGUCGGAAUCGCUAGUAAUCGUGGAUCAGAAUGCCACGGUGAAUACGUUCCCGGGCCUUGUACACACCGCCCGU
rnacentral:rRNA from 1 species